rnacentral:misc_RNA from 1 species
GGUUUAAUUGCCCAAGUUUGAG